UCAAGAAGAGAAGCGCAAACGGUGGAUGCCUUGGCAGUAAGAGGCGAAGAAGGACGUGGAAUCCUGCGAAAAGCUUUGGGGAGCUGGAAACGAGCGAUGAACCAAAGGUGUCCGAAUGGGGGAACCCGGCUUUGCGAAAGCGAGGUCAUUUUUAACUGAAUACAUAGGUUAAAGAGGCGAACUCGGGGAACUGAAACAUCUAAGUACCCGAAGGAAAAGAAAUCAAACGAGAUUCUCCAAGUAGCGGCGAGCGAACGGGGAAGAGCCUGGUGUGAUAUAUCAUUAAGCUGAGUAGAAGGCUCUGGGAAGUGCCACGAGAGAGGGUGAAAGUCCCGUAUACGAAGGCCUAAUGAGGAACUAAGCACACGAAUAAGUAGGCUGGGACACGUGAAAUCCUGGUUGAAGAUGGGUGGACCAUCAUCCAAGGCUAAAUACUCCUUACUGACCGAUAGUGAACCAGUACCGUGAGGGAAAGGCGAAAAGAACCCCGGAGAGGGGAGUGAAAUAGAACCUGAAACCGUUUGCGUACAAGCAGUGGGAGCUGGCUUAGGCUAGUGACUGCGUACCUUUUGUAUAAUGGGUCAGCGAGUUACUUUUAGUGGCGAGGUUAACUUAUUAAGGGAGCCGUAGAGAAAUCGAGUCUGAAAAGGGCGAGAGUCGCUGAGAGUAGACCCGAAACCGGGCGAUCUAGCCAUGUGCAGGAUGAAGGUUGGGUAACACCAACUGGAGGUCCGAACCGGGUAAUGUUGAAAAAUUAUCGGAUGACGUGUGGCUAGGAGUGAAAGGCUAAUCAAGCCCGGAGAUAGCUGGUUCUCCCCGAAAGCUAUUUAGGUAGCGCCUCGUGAAUGAUUACUGGGGGUAGAGCACUGUUUCGGCUAGGGGGCUGUCAUGGCUUACCAAACCGAUGCAAACUCCGAAUACUGGUUAAUUGAAUCACGGGAGACACACGGCGGGUGCUAACGUCCGUCGUGAAGAGGGCAACAACCCAGACCGUCGGCUAAGGUCCCGAAGUUAUGGUUAAGUGGGAAACGAUGUGGGAAGGCAUAGACAGCCAGGAGGUUGGCUUAGAAGCAGCCACCCUUUAAAGAAAGCGUAAUAGCUCACUGGUCGAGUCGGCCUGCGCGGAAGAUGUAACGGGGCUAAAACCAUACACCGAAGCUGCGGAUAUGCACUAAGUGCAUGUGGUAGGGGAGCGUUCUGUAAGCUGAUGAAGGUUCAUUGAGAAGUGGGCUGGAGGUAUCAGAAGUGCGAAUGCUGACAUGAGUAACGAUAAAGUGGGUGAAAAACCCACUCGCCGGAAGUCUAAGGUUUCCUGCACGACGUUAAUCGGAGCAGGGUGAGUCGGCCCCUAAGGUGAGGCAGAAAUGCGUAGCUGAUGGGAACCAGGUUAAUAUUCCUGGACUUUUUGUAAGUGGUGAAGCGGGGACGAAGAAGGCUAGGUGAGCCGGGCGGUGGUUGUCCCGGUACUUGCAUGUAGGCUGAGGGGUUAGGCAAAUCCGGCCCCUUGUUAAGGCUGAGGUGCGAAGUGGUUUCGACACUACGGUGUGCGAAGAAGUCAUUGAUGCCAAGCUUCCAGGAAAAGCCGCUAGCCAUAACUUACAGAGAACCGUACCGCAAACCGACACAGGUGGACAAGUAGAGAAUACUAAGGCGCUUGAGAGAACUCGGGUGAAGGAACUAGGCAAAAUGGUACCGUAACUUCGGGAGAAGGUACGCCCUUUUUGGUGAGUUAACUUGCUUAAUGAGCUGAAGAGGGCCGCAGAGACCAGGUGGCUGCGACUGUUUAUUAAAAACACAGCACUCUGCAAAUUCGUAAGAAGACGUAUAGGGUGUGACGCCUGCCCGGUGCCGGAAGGUUAAUUGAUGGGGUUAUUCUGCCACCAGAUUGUUUGCUAAUUGAGGCGAGCGACGCUGAGUUGAAGGAGCAUACUUAAGUAUGUGACUGAGAGGAAGCGGAAGCUCAACGAAGAGUAGCGAGCAAUGUGGUGGCAGAAGAAGCUCUUGAUCGAAGCCCCGGUAAACGGCGGCCGUAACUAUAACGGUCCUAAGGUAGCGAAAUUCCUUGUCGGGUAAGUUCCGACCUGCACGAAUGGCGUAACGAUGGCCACACUGUCUCCACCCGAGACUCAGUGAAAUUGAAAUCGCUGUGAAGAUGCAGUGUACCCGCGGCUAGACGGAAAGACCCCGUGAACCUUUACUAUAGUUUUGCACUGGACUUUGAUGAUGACUGUGUAGGAUAGGUGGGAGGCUAUGAAGUGCGGACGCCAGUUCGCAUGGAGCCGACGUUGAAAUACCACCCUGUUAUUAUUGAGGUUCUAACUUGGGCCAGUAAUCCUGGCUGAGGACAGUGUAUGAUGGGUAGUUUGACUGGGGCGGUCUCCUCCCAAAGAGUAACGGAGGAGCACAAAGGUACCCUCGGUACGGUCGGACAUCGUACCAAGAGUGUAAAGGCAAAAGGGUGCUUGACUGCGAGAGUGACGGCUCGAGCAGGAACGAAAGUUGGUCUUAGUGAUCCGGUGGUUCUGAAUGGAAGGGCCAUCGCUCAACGGAUAAAAGGUACUCCGGGGAUAACAGGCUGAUACCGCCCAAGAGUUCAUAUCGACGGCGGUGUUUGGCACCUCGAUGUCGGCUCAUCACAUCCUGGGGCUGAAGCAGGUCCCAAGGGUAUGGCUGUUCGCCAUUUAAAGUGGUACGCGAGCUGGGUUUAGAACGUCGUGAGACAGUUCGGUCCCUAUCUGCCGUGGGCGUAGGAAAAUUGAGAGGAGCUGCUCCUAGUACGAGAGGACCGGAGUGGACGAACCUCUGGUGUACCGGUUGUGACGCCAGUUGCAUUGCCGGGUAGCUAAGUUCGGACGGGAUAACCGCUGAAAGCAUCUAAGCGGGAAGCCUCCCUCAAGAUGAGUUUUCCCAUGAAGCCCGUUGGAGACUACGACGUUGAUAGGCGAGGUGUGGAAGCACAGUAAUGUGUGUAGCUAACUCGUACUAAUUGGCUGAUUGUCUUGACCAU
rnacentral:rRNA from 1 species